GACGAACGCUGGCGGCGUGCUUAACACAUGCAAGUCGAACGGAAAGGCCUGCUUUCCCUUGUGGAUUGCGGGUACUCGAGUGGCGAACGGGUGAGUAACACGUGAGUGAUCUGCCCCCAACUUGGGUAUAAGCCUGGGAAACUGGGUCUAAUUCCCGAUAGGACUGCAGGGUGGUGCCUGUGGUGGAAAACGAUUUUCUAGUGGUUGGGGAUGAGCUCGCGGCCUAUCAGCUUGUUGGUGGGGUAAUGGCCUACCAAGGCGGCGACGGGUAGCCGGCCUGGGAGGGUGGACGGGCACAUUGGGACUGGGAUACGGCCCAGAAUCCGACGGGAGGCAGCAGGGGGGAAUAUUGCACAAUGGGCGGAAGCCUGAUGCAGCGACGCCGCGUGGGGGAUGACGGCCUUCGGGUGGUAAACUCCUUUCGACCGCGAGGAAGCCACCUGGUUGGAAGGGUGGUGACGGUAGUGGUAGAAGAAGCACCGGCUAACUACGUG
rnacentral:rRNA from 1 species